rnacentral:rRNA from 1 species
ACGAACGCUGGCGGCGUGCUUAACACCUGCCAGUCGAACGGUGAAGCGCCUUCCUUUUUGGUGGGUGUGGAUGAGUGGCGAACGGGUGAGUAACACGUGAGUAACCUGCCCCCUUCUUCUGGAUAACCGCAUGAAAGUGUGGCUAAUACGGGGUAUUCUGGGUCUGUCGCAUGAUGGGUCUGGGAAAGAUAUUGUUUCGGUGGGGGAUGGGCUCGCGGCCUAUCAGCUUGUUGGUGGGGUGAUGGCCUACCAAGGCGGUGACGGGUAGCCGGCCUGAGAGGGUGGACGGUCACACUGGGACUGAGACACGGCCCAGACUCCUACGGGAGGCAGCAGUGGGGAAUAUUGCACAAUGGGCGCAAGCCUGAUGCAGCGACGCCGCGGGAGGGAUGGAGGCCUGCGGGUUGUGAACCUCUUUCGCCAGUGAAGCAGGCCUGCCUCGUUUGUGGGUGGGUUGACGGUAGCUGGAGAAGAAGCGCCGGCUAACUACGUG